rnacentral:rRNA from 1 species
CAGCAGCCACGGGAAUACAGAGGGUGCGAGCGUUAAUCGGAUUUACUGGGCGUAAAGCGUGCGUAGGCGGCUUUUUAAGUCGGAUGUGAAAUCCCUGAGCUUAACUUAGGAAUUGCAUUCGAUACUGGGAAGCUAGAGUAUGGGAGAGGAUGGUAGAAUUCCAGGUGUAGCGGUGAAAUGCGUAGAGAUCUGGAGGAAUACCGAUGGCGAAGGCAGCCAUCUGGCCUAAUACUGACGCUGAGGUACGAAAGCGUGGGGAGCAAACAGGAUUAGAUACCCGCGUAGUCCCUGUCUCUUAUAC